GAUGAACGCUAGCUACAGGCUUAACACAUGCAAGUCGAGGGGCAGCAUGGUCUUAGCUUGCUAAGGCCGAUGGCGACCGGCGCACGGGUGAGUAACACGUAUCCAACCUGCCGUCUACUCUUGGACAGCCUUCUGAAAGGAAGAUUAAUACAAGAUGGCAUCAUGAGUCCGCAUGUUCACAUGAUUAAAGGUAUUCCGGUAGACGAUGGGGAUGCGUUCCAUUAGAUAGUAGGCGGGGUAACGGCCCACCUAGUCUUCGAUGGAUAGGGGUUCUGAGAGGAAGGUCCCCCACAUUGGAACUGAGACACGGUCCAAACUCCUACGGGAGGCAGCAGUGAGGAAUAUUGGUCAAUGGGCGAGAGCCUGAACCAGCCAAGUAGCGUGAAGGAUGACUGCCCUAUGGGUUGUAAACUUCUUUUAUAAAGGAAUAAAGUCGGGUAUGGAUACCCGUUUGCAUGUACUUUAUGAAUAAGGAUCGGCUAACUCCGUGCCAGCAGCCGCGGUAAUACGGAGGAUCCGAGCGUUAUCCGGAUUUAUUGGGUUUAAAGGGAGCGUAGAUGGAUGUUUAAGUCAGUUGUGAAAGUUUGCGGCUCAACCGUAAAAUUGCAGUUGAUACUGGAUAUCUUGAGUGCAGUUGAGGCAGGCGGAAUUCGUGGUGUAGCGGUGAAAUGCUUAGAUAUCACGAAGAACUCCGAUUGCGAAGGCAGCCUGCUAAGCUGCAACUGACAUUGAGGCUCGAAAGUGUGGGUAUCAAACAGGAUUAGAUACCCUGGUAGUCCACACGGUAAACGAUGAAUACUCGCUGUUUGCGAUAUACUGCAAGCGGCCAAGCGAAAGCGUUAAGUAUUCCACCUGGGGAGUACGCCGGCAACGGUGAAACUCAAAGGAAUUGACGGGGGCCCGCACAAGCGGAGGAACAUGUGGUUUAAUUCGAUGAUACGCGAGGAACCUUACCCGGGCUUAAAUUGCAGAUGAAUUACGGUGAAAGCCGUAAGCCGCAAGGCAUCUGUGAAGGUGCUGCAUGGUUGUCGUCAGCUCGUGCCGUGAGGUGUCGGCUUAAGUGCCAUAACGAGCGCAACCCUUGUUGUCAGUUACUAACAGGUUCCGCUGAGGACUCUGACAAGACUGCCAUCGUAGGAUGUGAGGAAGGUGGGGAUGACGUCAAAUCAGCACGGCCCUUACGUCCGGGGCUACACACGUGUUACAAUGGGGGGUACAGAGGGCCGCUACCACGCGAGUGGAUGCCAAUCCCCAAAACCUCUCUCAGUUCGGACUGGAGUCUGCAACCCGACUCCACGAAGCUGGAUUCGCUAGUAAUCGCGCAUCAGCCACGGCGCGGUGAAUACGUUCCCGGGCCU
rnacentral:rRNA from 1 species